AGAGUUUGAUCCUGGCUCAGAUUGAACGCUGGCGGCAUGCUUUACACAUGCAAGUCGAACGGUAACAGGCCGCAAGGUGCUGACGAGUGGCGAACGGGUGAGUAAUGCAUCGGAACGUGCCCAGUCGUGGGGGAUAACGCAGCGAAAGCUGCGCUAAUACCGCAUACGAUCUAUGGAUGAAAGCGGGGACCGUAAGGCCUCGCGCGAUUGGAGCGGCCGAUGUCAGAUUAGGUAGUUGGUGGGGUAAAGGCUCACCAAGCCAACGAUCUGUAGCUGGUCUGAGAGGACGACCAGCCACACUGGGACUGAGACACGGCCCAGACUCCUACGGGAGGCAGCAGUGGGGAAUUUUGGACAAUGGGCGCAAGCCUGAUCCAGCAAUGCCGCGUGCAGGAAGAAGGCCUUCGGGUUGUAAACUGCUUUUGUACGGAACGAAAAGGCUCUGGUUAAUACCUGGGGCACAUGACGGUACCGUAAGAAUAAGCACCGGCUAACUACGUG
rnacentral:rRNA from 1 species